rnacentral:lncRNA from 1 species
CAGCAGCCUCCUCAGCCUUCUCCUUUUCCUUCUCAACAUCAUACUUGGGCUUCCAGGUCUUCUCCAGAAUGGAGGUGGCAACCUUCUCAUCAUCAGCAAUCAAGAUAUUGUCAAACAGGAUGCCAUCCUGCAUUGUCCAGAUCUCAAUACCAAUAGCAGCAAUUGGAUCAAAAUCAGGCUUGUCAAGCUCAAAGUACUCAGGGUUGGGGAUCUCCUGAGGCUUCCAGAUCCCCUUGUAGUUGGGGUUGUCAAUCAUAGGUGCAUGCCACUUGCCCUUGUAAGCAGGAUUCUGCUUCAUUGGCCUCUUCCACUCACCGCAUCCAGGUGCCUCUUCACACUUUGGGUUGUCAAUCUUUGGCGCCUCCCAUUCACCAUCCUCCUCAUCAUCCCAGUCCUCGGGCUUGGCUGCCUCAGGAUCAUCAAUCUCCUCAGGCUCGUCAUCCAACCAUCCCUCAGGCUUGGUGGCUUCCUCAUCCACAAUUUCCAUGGGGGCAUCCUCAUCCCAGUCAUCAGGUUUCACUGCAUCUGGAUCAGGGAUUUUAGCUCUCUCAUCCCAGUCCUCUGGCUUCUUGUCAUCAGGGUCAGGAAUGGUCUUGGAUGGGAUAAGUGCUGGCUCAAAAUCAUCAGCAGAAAGGAAGUUUGCCUUCUUCUUUUCUUCCCCGUCGACCAAAAUUCUGACCUCAUUGUCUGGCUUCAAGAUAGCCGUGUAGACAUGAGAGAGCUUGUCAUAUGGGACAGAAGGUGGGAAUUUGAGGUGAUGCUCAACAUACUUUCCAGUCUUGGGAUUCUUGUGCUUAAGGAUGAAAUGAACCUUGUUGGUUGACCCACACUUAUCUGGACCAAACAUAAUUGUGUAUGGAGUCUCAUUAUCAAACUCCUUGGCAUCCCAUCCAGCAUCCUGAGGGCGGAUGUACUUAAUGUAGGCACCUCCACAUUCAAGGCCAUUCUGAAGCCUCACUUCAAACUGCAGGACCACUGUCCCAUCCUUCAAAGUAACUGGCUCAUCAAGCUCCUUGAUUAUGGCGUAUUUCCUUGCCUUCUCACUGACAAGGAGGCCAUAGUCUUCAUGGCCAUCACUCUUGGCAUGCUUCCACACACCUACGAACCAUAUCAUGUAGUCAUUAAGCUAUGAAAGAAAGAACAGAACAGAAAUUAUGACUAGUAACAACAAUGUUCAAACAGCAGCAGGCAACUAGUAGUUAAGAUAAGGAUUGCAUAUCAGGACUAAGACACUACUCCCUCCAUCCACAAAUGCAAGCAACAUGUUGUUUCAGGAAGUGUAACUUUACAAAUUUUGACUAAUAAAUAGUCAAAUUAUGGUGUUGUCUAGUGUACAAAGGCUGUAUAGAUUCAUAUUCAAAUUAUGACCAGUGACAAGAAUGUUCACAGAUAAAUAGCAUAUUAGAAAAAUCUAACAGGCACCUAGUUAACAGAUAAAUAGCAUAUUAGAAAAAUCUAACAGGCUGUAAGGAUUGCAAGCUUACUUCAUAUGAAGAAUGUUUAAUGUGGCACAGGAUUACAGGAAUACAAGAUACCACUAGCAAACUGAACAUACUAAUAAAUUUAUUCUUUUUUGAAUAACCUAGUUCAUUAACACAUGCAUAUAUAAAUAAAAUUAUCCAAAAUCUCUCCUGACGUCUCAUGCUAUAUUCUAGCACAAGUUACUCACUCCUUCCAGUCAUGAAUAGAUGAGGUUACUCUCGACUAUCGAAGCAUAAGUACAUUUUGGCAGUUCCAGAAACGCCAACCAUUCAUAUCAACAAUGAGCCAACACAGAAACCAGUCACUUCAAUGAUCCUCUGUUCGUAACAGCUACAAACCACCGUAACUUGUGUCGGCACUGUCAAAAGGUUAUACUGAACGUUGGGACGUGGAGACUAGCCACAGCUCUGCAUCUAGAGGCAUCUAGAGCGGGUGCUGCUAGCGAAGCACAUCCGAUCGAACUAAAGCACAUACAUGACUGACAGUAUCGAUCGUGGAUCUCACGAGUAAUUGCACAGUUAUCUCCCAAUUUAAACACCGGAAACUACGAUCUCAGACGAAGAAGCUCCCACAACCCCACUAAACCCACGGAUCUAAACAGAUCUAGCGAAACCAUAACGAGCGCGAGAAGUAGACGCGCGCGCAUACCUUGGUACUCGUCCUUCUUGGAGACGACCCAUCUCCCCUCGAAGUCCUCGUCGAACGGCUCGUACAGCAGCUGCAAACAACAACACCGAUACCAUCACAAAUCUCGCCCACAAAAUUCAAAAUUCAGAGAGAAAAACAAAAUAGCCAAAUCGACACAGGCUCGCUUAGAUUACCGGAUCGGAGGCGCGGAUCUGAACGAGCAGCGCCGAGACGAGGAGCAGCAGCAGCGCGCGCCCUCCCAUCAUCCUCUCUGUCCCGAUCUCCUCGAGCCGGGGGCGGGGGGAGUUUCUGGAAACCUUCCAACUAGAGCGAAGCGUCCGCGAGAGGGAGCAGACGUGGGUGGGAGUAUAAGAAGUGGGCGCGGUGGAGUGGCUGCACGGCUCAGAUUAGGAGAGGAGGGGAAGGAACGGCGGAGAUGGAUCGAUCUGGGUAGGAGGGCCGGCAGUUGCGAGGAAAAGGCCGUCGUGUGACUUGUUCCGGCCAAUGGGAGGGUGCGGGACGUGGUGCUGGCCAAUUGCACGCUGCCACGUCUGACUCGUGACGCUUCGGUGUUGUAGGACGCCAUGUCAGCCGCCCCAAGGCACAGAAUGGUAGGAUAGGAUCCCGACCAGCCGGUGAAACCGUCAAAGUGGGGUAUGGCAUCUCCAUCCCGAAAUAUACAGACUACACGUAUAAAUUUUGAGUCAUUUUCAAAUUUUCUUGCAUGCCAUUAUAAAGAGUUUUGUACAGUAGGAACUAAUAGUCUUGGGACCCUUUAUAUUGAUUUGUUAUAACAAAAAAUAUUAUUUCUUCUUUGUUGAAAAGUACGACUGAAGUAAUAAUAUAAAAAAAAUAAGGUUUUCAUUUUCUUCGGUGCUACUUACAAUAAGUUGAUUAGAGUUCUAAAUUUGUUCUUUUUUUUUCUGGUGCCACUUCGUCCAUACUGUUGUGGUGCCAAAAUUUAAUCAUUCUUUUUACUAACACUAAUGUAAUUGGUAUUUCAAAUUAUUUGCAACACUAAUUUAAAUAAAUAUUAUUUUUCAACUAUUUUGUAUUAUAUCACAUUUGUGAUUUGUGAUGAACAGACACUAAGGCUUUGUUUAGUUCGCGAAAAAUUUUGGGUUUCGCUACUAUAGCAUUUUCGGCUUUAUUUGACAAUUAUUAUUUAAUUAUAGACUAACUAGACUCAAAAGAUUCGUCUCGCGAAUUACAGAUAAACUGUAUAAUUAGCUAUCUGUUUUAUCUAUAUUUAAUAUUUCAUACAUAUGCUGCAUGAUUCGAUAUGACAGGAAAUUUUAAAAAAAAUUUGGGAACUAAACAAGGCCUGAUAUAAGGCAGCAAGCAAAUGAUAAAAAUUGAGAUUCUUACAUCCCAUAACUAAACCAGACAAACACAUAAAUAUAUAUAUGUAUAUUGUGAGCUGAACUCAUCUUCUAUCAUUGCCGUUUCCAACUACAUUCCUCUUUAUCUUAAAAACAACUUGAAUUCUUUUUUUCUCUCAAAUAUCUUAAAAAGAACUCCAUUCCUGCCUUCAUGAUCUCAUCUUUCUUAUCCUUCUCUGCAAUGGCUGAUCACUGCAAGAAGAAAGGCAAAUUAGUCAAAGGUCAAACAAUGUUAAUGAACAUCUGCAGUAAUGAAAAUAUCAUCAUAAAAGAGUGCAAAAUAAAUUAUUUCUUUUUUUAAAAACUAAAUAAAUUAUUUCUAGAGGAAUGCUGAUGUGUAUAAGGUUCCAGAGCAUAUUGUAUGGUUUUUCCAUCCAUUUCAUACUACUUAGAGCGUGUUUGGUUGGAGGUAUUGUUGGUAUAAAUUAACUGCACUCCAUUUAAAUAGAUUUAAGUAGGAUUAUCCGCAAGCGCACAAAUAUCAUACCAGUGUCACAUUUUACCCGGAGGUUUUAAAUAUCGUAUCCACGGGGAACAGUUGUCAUGAUGACAUAGUAUAUAGACUUAACCCUACAAUUAGGCUAGAUCAUAUCAAGAAAAAGGAAAUAACUAAUGCACUCUAGUUCCGACUCCAGUAAACUUUGUAUAAUACCGUCUUAUCGUGCAAGUAACCCGAAUAGGGGAAGAAUCAGAGUAAUCCCCUAUGAGGCACCUAUGAGCCUAUCAAUCCUAUUAACGGGUAGUGGACUACAGAGGAAUCAACGCAGCUAUCACCUACUCGAGCUGAUCAGGGAACAUUCACAAGUAAACCUAGCCUAGGCACCACGCCUACACUACAAAAUACUACUUCAACCAAGUUACGACCAAGAUCAAAGCACUCAAUAUGAGUUGUGAACCAAAUAACGAAUAAGAACAAGUUGCUUACUUAAACCAAAAGGGUAAGUACAAAAGUACCUCAGAACGUAGCUCCGGGCGAGGGAACUGAAUCCAGAAGAAUACAGCCACGAAGAAGCACCGAUAGGCCGGAACUCUUCCAGAAUCUCUACUCCUCUACUUAAUCUCUUUAAUCUCUAAACAAGACUAGACCUAGAAGAACUAGUCUCUCCUAAUUGCUACAUCUAGAUGAACUAGAUCUAGAUGAACUAUAACUAGAACAACAAGAGGGACCCUAAUUCUAAUUAUGUGGAGAAUAUGAAGCACCAGGGUGUAGAAUGCCUCCACGGAGGAGGUCUGCCCCUCUAUUUAUAGCCCGGUGGGAUCGACAUGCGCUGUAGGAUCAAACCGACUUAACCAAGGGCCGAGAUGCAUCAAAAGAGGCGGUGGAGGAACCUUCCGGAAGGGGGAAGCCAGAAACCCUAGGGGGCGCCAGCCGGCGCUAGGGUGGGGCCGGCCGGCCCCACCUUGUCUCCUCUAUAGGUGUAACACCCGAUUUUAAGAACAAAAUCAGAUAUGCACCAUAUGUGAGUUUUAGAAAAUAAACCUCACAUAUAGCUACAAAUAAGGGGUAAUAUCAAAGGACAACGCAUAAAUUAUAUAACAUAGAUAAUAAAUCAGAAAACAACCUUAGGCAGCAAACCACGGACGAUAACUCCAAACUUUGGGUGUUAACUUCACUCUACAGGAUCCAACUGACUGGUUGAUCACAAGCCCACUACUUCUCCUGAGGUGAGGGGGGGAUAGCAAGAGUGAGUCCAAGACGAACUCCGCAAGUAUAACAACAAGAUUGUAUAGAUCCAUGGUCUCACGAUCAAUGUGACAUAAAUAAUAUAGAGCAUUAAACAAUAAAUAAUGAGUAUCUUAACACAACAAGAUUCAUCACCUUUAAUGUAAGAAUCCCCAAGGCCGCUCGUGACCGUGAGCACGGCUAGUAUACCAGUUUUUUAACACUCUGCAGAGGUUGUACAUCUUUACCCAUGAGUCAUGAUUUACCCUUUUGCCCGAGGUGAUCAGCCUCUUAACCCACUACCAAGGAAGGCCGACAGGGAUCACUAUGAAGUCUUUCAAAGGUUCGUCUAACAAGUUAGGGCUGCUUGGUUUCGCUAGUCAGUCCGUGUGAUUCUACCCCGCAGGGGAUCCACGGUCUGCUAUCCCCUAUUUGCGCCACGCGGGUAACCUCUAACAAGCUAGAAAAGUUACUCAUAUUUGACUAAAGCCAGAGCCAUCAUAACCCUCAUGGUUGCACUUUUAUCCCGGUUAUCACUUGCAAAUAAAUCCUCAUGUUGCUUAAAAAGUCAUUAUUAUUAUUUGUGGCUUUAUAUUAAUUUAGGCACAAGAUCAUGGUCAUAGAAUUAAAACCCAAAUGUUAUACUUGCCUUGAUCCAAUUGCUCCUGCUGGUCCUGCUGGCCUCACUUGCUUCCAAGGCUCUAACCUUGAUGACCGAAGUAAUGCCCACCGUCUAAUCUAGAUCGUCGAUUAUCAACACACAAACAAUCGGAGACAGACAUACACGAAGCAAACAAGAUUACAAUUAGAACAGUACACUAGUAGUAAAUAAAUUUAAAUAAAAGCUUUCCAAAAUCAUCUACACGCUGCUACGAUCACGUCAACGCAAAGUUCACGCAAAGAGGAGUUACGACGUGAAAUCUACGCAUUAAACGGGACUGCAAAGGCUAUCUACGGACUUGUAAUUAACUAGGAAAUCUAGCAAUGGUGAACCUAGGCAACAGUGGUACCAACACGAAGCUUAUGAAAUUAUGAAACUAACACAACUUGAACGGAUCGAAACGGAGCUAAAACAGAGAAGAUAUGAAUUUUCUAAGAUUUUGUUUAGAAAAGUAAUUAAUUAAAUAGGGUCACGAAAUUAAAAUAUUUCAAACUGGUGAACCAAGAUUACUAACACAAAGUUCAUGAGAUUAUGAAUCUAACGCAAUUUGAACGGGUCAAAUUGGAGUUAAAACAAAUAUUUUAUGGCCAAAACAAACUCAGUGGCUAUUUUGUAAUUUUGUGAAAGCGUAUUCUGCAAUCAAACCGGCGAAAAUACGUUUUCAAACUCGAUUGGCGUAACUCUAGAAGGCACUUUGGACCGCGGGUUCUAAACUCCAAAACCGCAGGGGUUCUUUAACAAAUUUCACCCCGAAGGGGUAUCUUCUAAUCACGACCGUUGAUUCGCGAUCCUACGAUGCAGAUCAACCCAGGGAGGAGAGGUUGCCGCCGGCGGCCGGUGCAGGGGGCAACCACGGUGGCGCCAUGGCCGUGGUUCGCCGGAGUUUGUGGUUCUAGCGCUAGAGACCACGGUUUUCGACGGGGAAGGCACCGGGGCAUACAUAAGCUUCGUGCAAACUCACCACAAAAUUGAAGGCGUGGGGGAUCUCGGAGAGGACCGGCAACAAACGGCUGCUUCCUGUACACAUUCGGCACGAAUUAGGGCAGCACUGAGAUCGAUAGAGAGAGAGGGAAAAGGGUACCUACGGCUUCGUGAUCACGUUGCGGAGCUCACCAAGCGGUUUUUGAUGGCCUCAGAGAAACAGUGGGCGCUAAUGGCGAUGGCGUGCGGCUCGGUGAGAUCCGAGUGUGCUAGGAGAGAGAGCGAGUGUGGUCUGGGAGGGAGAAAUGGUCGCGGGGCAACAGCACCGGCUCGGGCGUAGCUCAAAGGGAGCGAGGCGACAAAGUGGAGAACGUGGGAGCGGGGGCGCGGUUGCCAUCGGCGCUCCGCGAUAGGAGAAGGAGAGCAGUUGGAGGGAGGGGAUGGAUCUGACGGGUGGGUCCCACAUGGCAGAGAGAGAAAGGGAAAGGAGGAGGCGGUUUGGCAGUUGCUGCGCAAGUUGGGCCGGCCCAUGAGGAAAAGGGGAAAGGCGUGGUCCGAUAGGAGUUGGGCCAGGCUGGAAUGAGAGAGGGGGAGGGAAUAGGAUUUUUCUUUUUAUUUUUCAAUAAAUUUUCAAAGCUCAUUUUUUUCAAUUUGAAUUUGAAUAAAUUCUCUUUGCAAAACUUCACACAUCACAAAAAUAAAUGUUGCAGCAUGUAUGCAUCAACAUAUUUCUAAUAUUACAGUAAAUUUUAAUUUCUCAAAAAUUAUUAUUUUUCCUAUAUUUUGAUGCUCACAAACUUGACUCAAUAAAUCAAAUUCAACUAUUUAAAACAAGGGAAUUUUUAUGGCGUUACAAUAGGUCUCAUUCCUUCGGGUGUCUUCUAGAGCCUUCCUGACCCUGUUGGCGGUGUUGUUGCGUUGCGGUUAAGUCUCAUGUUUAUUUUGCACUUGAAUCCCUCUGCUUUCUGUAAAAUAAACCCUGAAAAACACAGAAUAUGCAAAACUCGUAGAAAUUGUUAGUUUAAACCCUAUACUAGUGUGUAUUCAUGUUCUCCUUCGGAUUUAAAGUUCUAAUAAAAGUUGACGUUAUCGACCGUCAACAGGUAUUAAAAUUUAACACGUACUGUAACUCUUUCAUUUUAUUUGGCAAUUAGUGUCCAAUCAUGGACUAAUUAGACUUAAAAGAUUUGUCUCGUAAAUUACUCUCUAGUUGUGUUUUUAGUUUUAUAAAUAGUCUAUAUUUAAUACUCCAUGCAUGCGUCCAAAUAUUCAAUGUAACAGAAGUUAAAGUUUACCGAUGCAAACCAAAUAGGACCUUAGUGGAAGUUCAUAAAUCACAACUACUAAACCACGGCAAUUAUUAGUUGUUUUAUCCACUUUUUAGGUAAAGUCAAUUCCAUCAGUCCACUAAAAUUAUAAGACUUCCUUCAAAGCCAAUCAAAAUUUUGUUUUCCCCUCACUGCCAUCAACUGGAACUUUCCUUUCCCUCACACUGCCAUUCCUUCAGUUUCUAUUAAAAUUUGUGUCACUAACAAAACUGGACCCAUGCAAUGACAUCGCUCCGUCUAACUUUGAUGCUAAAUAUACCCCUUAGCAUUUUGUUGGGAGUCAAGAGUGAGUUAGGGUCUUGUCUCUAAUUUUCUAUUUAGUUGACAAAGAACAAGAUCGAUCCAUUUUGUAUUUAGUUGAAGGAAUAAAUGGAUUCGAUGGUAUUAACUACUGUUUAAUCGGACCCACAUGUCAUUAAUGGGACUCGCGAGACAAUUUCUUUCAUCCUUAUCUCUUCUCCCCAACCCCAGCCUCUCAUCCUUGUCUCUUCCCCACUGCCUCGGUAGAACCCCUUGUAACACACCCGCUCCGCCACCGCCUGGCCCUCACCCUUGUCAUGGGAGCGCUCUUGUGGCCCACACCCCAGCCCCAACAGUACAAUUGCAGGCAGACUCGUUAGCGGCCGGCCGCUAACCCGCAUACAAUUGCAGGCAGGCUCGUUAGCUGCCGGCCGCUAACCCGCAUCGCUUGCUGUAAAGUUUAUUAGUGGACUUGCAGCUUACCACAAAGCUAUGGAUCUUGCGGACAAGUGUUCCGCAGACACAGCAAAUUUAUAUGCAAAACCCAUAAUACCUGCAACAAAUUUGUAGUAUAGUUCAUAUAAUAUAGCUUCUGCACACUAAGAGACCCGAGAGGCCCAUAAGGCCAUAACGUAGACCCGAGAGUUAAUGAAAUAACCAAGGAGAUGAGUUUUAAUAUGGAGCAAUUAAGAAAAAUAAAACAAGGAGAAGAGCGAAUGGGAAUAUAGGAUUAUGUGAAGUUUAACAUAUUGCAGGCUCCUUUACAAGGGCUUCACAUACUGAUCACUAUUAGUUUAGCCAGUCUCAUACAGUUUCCAUCUUAUAACAGUACAGGGCAAAGCCAUAUGCUAUUCAUUCAUCAGGCUGAAGGAAACCAUUCACAAAGAAGAUCCAUGUGCACCCCUUCUUUGCCACCUUCUUUGCUCAACUUGACACCUCCUUUCCUCAAAUAUCAUCACCAUCGCCAAUGCUAUCUUGUGAUAAUUUAAUAUCUGAUAAACCUGAAACAUGAGCGAGUAGUGAGUUAUAUGGUGUCAUUAUUGCUCAAUCAAGAAUACUAAAACUAACAUUAUGCUACUUUGUACAAUUAAAAAAAUGUACCUUCUGCACUCAACCAAUCUUGCAGGCAUACUAAGGAUUGAACUCUCUUGCUUGUUAGUUGGCUACUGUAGUCACUAACAAUUCUUCCACUAGUGGAAAAUGCGGAUUCAGAAGCUACAGUUGAUGCGGGUGCUGCAAGCACAUCUCUUGCCAUAAGCAAAAUGAUAGGAUAUUUCGUAGAAUGUAUCCUCCACCACUGUAGAAUAUCAAAAUUCUUUUGUCGAGGGAAAAGAUCAUCUUGCAGAUAUGUGUCAAGCUCACUUUUCACUCUCUUCCUUUUUGUGCUGCAAGAUGUUGUUCAAAGUCUGCCCAACAAUCAUAUUCAUCAAUACUUCCAUCAUUAGGCUCUAGGUGUGAGUAGUUUAAAUCAGGUGCCAUUGGUGAAUAUGCAGAAAACAGAUUUUGCAAUGUAGCCUUCACCAUUUACUGUAUGCUGGACCUUUAUCACCAAAACCAGCGUUCAAACGAAAUGAUGCAAAACUCAGCUUAAACCUAGGAUCUAGAACUACUAGAACACAUAUAUGCAACAAGCAUAUGUCCUAGUAUUUCUGAAACUUCAGAUUCAUUUUACUCACCAUAACUACAAUGGAAAUAUCUGUAUGUGAUUCCAAAGUUUCUAUUUUUUCCUUUGACUUUCGAUAGGACAUAGAAACAUUGGUUUGCUAUUGGAUAUAAUGUACCAGAAACAACAUUUGUAGCAUCAUAGAAGGGUUUGAACACAUUGCAAAGUAGGUCUGCCAUAUUCCAGUCUGUAUUAGAAGGCUUGUCCAUGUAAUUAGGAUCUUGUUACUCCAUAACAUCAAAGACUGCCCUAUACUCUAUUAGAGACUUCAGCAUUGAAUAAGUUGAGUUCCACCAAGUUGGAACAUCACGUGACAGUCUCUUCUCACAGGAUAUACCUAACUGUACAAUGAUUUCCUCGAAACACUGUUUAUGGGCUUGGGAGCUUCUAAUGUACUUGACACUAUCUUGAAUGUGGUCGGUAGAACCAUCUAUCACCUUAAAUCCCUCCUUGACAAAAGGUUCAACACAUGCGCUACACAACGCAUAUGUAGCAGAUCACCAUUUCCAAGCAUAAGGUGUCUUUCCAAAAGAUUUUUCCUUAGGGAACAAACCACGUUGUUGUUGUUAUUUGCAUUAUCUAAUAUGAUGCUAAAUAACUUGUGCUCUAGUUUCCAUUCUUGCAAACACUUCAACAAUGCAUUAAACAAAGUAAGACCGCCAUGGGGUGAAGCUACAAGACCAAAACCUAUUAUUCUCUUCUGCAACAUCCAGUCAUUAUCAAUGAAGUGGCAAGUAAUGCACAAGUAACCUAGGUUCUGAUUUGAAGUCCACAGAUCAGCAGUUAAAUAGACCCUUGAAUUUGGAUUUUUGAUAGUUUCCCAAAGGGUAACCUUCGAUCCUCAUAUGAGCUCAUAAUAUCCUCAGCAACUGUAGUUCUAGACACUAUGGUAAACCAAGGAUUUAAGGUAGCGAUAAAUUUCUAAAAUGGUGCAUGGUCAACUAAACUAAAGGGCAGCUCCUACAACACAAUGAAGUUGACCAUGGCUUAUGUGAGACCUCUUGGUCAAACUUCCAAUUCUUCAGAGCUAGUGAAUCAGGGGAUAGUCCUGUUUUGAUGCUUUCAACCAACUAGUUCAUUCUUGUCCUUUCUUUGCACACUUUCAAAUGCCUACGACAAGCACUUCUACCAUUAUCUCGAGUAGCACACAAGAGCUCCAAACAAUGAAUACAUUUAGCUUAUACUACUAGAUUCCCCUCAUAAAUAGGCUCAAAUUCUUUCCACACAUCAGAUCUAAGUUUACAUCUCUUAAUUGGUCUUGAUACAUCUGUACAAUAAGUAUGUAAGUAUUAAUUAGUACAAGCAUUAGGAUGACAAAGCUACACUCGAGAUCUGGCGCCCCAAUCCUGCAGAAGUCGGCACCUGGAUCUUGGAGGCUUCAUGGCCCCCAUCCUCUCCUGCCUCCUCUUGCUCCACCGUGGAAGAGUGCGAGUCGAUGGCCAGGUUUCGGCCGCCUACCACGGCUAGAUUUGGCGUUCCCACCAUCUAUGGAAGGCCUAGGACGAGCUGAAAGGGCCAGCGGAGGAGGGUGAUGCUCGACGCCAUCGUACCGUGACGGCGCGAUGUGCGAUAGCGGUAGCUGGUAGGGUUCAGGAGAUGCAGUAGUUGCGGGUCUUGCGGGCUUUGUCUCCUACCAAUGGGCUUGGUGGGUUCAAAGAUGUUGGGCCACAAAAAAACUACAGCUGGGCCACUACAACAACGAAGAGAAAUUUUGUGGGGCGAACAUGAGGGUCUCGUUAAGAGCCCGCCCCGCGGCAGGCGAUUUGCCAGACCGUCCCUCCCCCGGCAAUGUUUUUCCAGUCUGCCCCUGCCCCGGCGGCGCUCGGUCGUCUAGCCCUACACUAGCUCUGCCUGGUCACCCUUGCCCUGACGUCGCUCUACUGGACCCAUCCCUCUUUGACGUAGCUCGGCUAGCUGGCCUCGCAGCAACUCUACCCGCACGCCAACUACACUCGCACAGCUUGUCUCACUAGGUACACUCGUGAGAAGGAGAAACACGCCAUCCAUAGGGGGCGUCCUUGUCCUCUUGAUUUCAUGGGACGGGAAUAACCCGGAUAUCAGGCGAAUAUUCUUCCUAGAGGCAGCUCGGUCCUAUUUUGCCCCUGAAUCAAACACUAGCAAAACGAGGAUUGUCACGAGUACUGAGCCAUAGCUUAGCUGGUUUGGAUUGCUGGUGUGCGUCCAGCCCACCCGCGUUCGAAGCCUGACUUCGACGCUGGUGUCUCAACCAUGAACAGUGGUUCCCUAAAAAAAUUUCAUUGCCUUACACGAAUGUGUUAUAACUGUCGGAUCUCUUAGCCGUGUUUCAUAGCCUAAGUGUAAGAUGUAGGUCUAGCAUCCGCACUAAGAGUUUGUGAAAGAGUGGGUAGCCUAUGUAAUGUGUGUUGGUGCGCGAAUUGAGCUUAUACGCGAGGGUAAGGGCAGCCAAAAAACAAGGAUCGUCACAUCCCUGAUAAACCUUGCAACCAAACGGCUGACAUUAGGUGCCACCCAAAAUACCUAUACGAUGUGUCAAUUGUUCUUCCCUUGACUCCAGUUCUCCCGAUCCCAUCUCCAUCGAGCGCACUGAGAGAGGAAAUGCUAAAUCAGGGUGGGUGGCAUCGGGUGUGCGACCUGAGAAGCGGCGGCGACAGCUAAACGUCACGCCUGUGCCCGCGCCCUCGGUUGAGCUUCGUGUAUUAGUGGCGGGCCCAAUAGGCAGUCCAGGUAGGCACAGGACUACUCUAGAUUUUGGCCCAAAAAUUUUUUAGUACCCCUUUCAGCCCAUAGAAACUUGGCCCAUCCUCUUUCUCGGUUUCUCCCUUCUCAGUCUCAGCGUCCUCCGAUAUCCCGCAUCCUGCGUCCCGCAUCUGAGUCUGAGGAUUGGCCGCCCCCGUGCCGCCGCCCCUGUAGGCCCGUACCGUCGAGUGCCCGAGUCGCGGAGGCGGAGACGGUGAGCCGCGGUGCCCCCAGGCCCCAGCCCCCGUGCCGCACUGGCGCACUGCCGCUGCCGCCUAGGUGCCUCACGCGCGGACGCGCGACGCAGGCAGCUAGGCACGCCGCACGCGGGCACGCGGCUCACACCGACACGGCGACUCCAGCACCGAGCCACUGCGUGUGACGCCGCUCGCCGGCCAGCCCCGUGCCCCCGCAAUGCGCCAGCGCCCCUGCGCUCCCUCGACCCUGCAGCAGACCAGCAGUUCAGUUCCUGGUGAGUUAUUUUUUUUUUCUCCCAGAUCUGUGAGACUGAUUUUGUUUGACUUAGAGCCAAUAAUUGAAUGAAUUUGUUGAUAUAUUUUUAGAAAGUUGAGGUAUGAAGAAAUCAAAUAUAGCAGUUCUUUUCCAGAAACAUGAGAAGAAAAAAAUGCAACUCAGACUGCUCCACCAAUUCCAGUUAUUCAUGAAGAGUUGUCUAUUCCAAUUGUAGAAGAUCCUCUAAUUGCGAUUUGCGAGUGUAGAAAGUGGUAUUUUACCUGUGGAUGGAGGGACAGAAACACCUACAACUACAAGCACCACAACUCUACCCACAACAGAUGAAGUUGAAGAAGGGAUAGAAGCAGUAGAAGUAGAACCGCCUCUAGUUGCAGCCGCUGAUGUUGAUUCUCUUGAGCAUGACCCAGGCCUAAGGAGGUCUAUUUUAUUCUUUGAUGUGAAUGAACAAGACUCUAUCAGAAGAAGGUACAUUUUAAAAGGCCCAUGUCAUCUUUAUGCCUAUGUCUAUCCAUUCAGAAAAAUCUAUGGGAAAGAACGCCGUUUUAGUUUUCUUUGGUUUCAAAAGUACCCGUGGAUUGAAUAUAAUGUAGAGAAGGAUGCAGCAUAUUGCUUUCACUGUUAUUUAUUUGGUAAAGGAAGUGGAAAAUUUAUUACAGAAGGUUGGAAUAAUUGGAAUGUUGGAGCUAUUGCACUUGACAAACAUCAGAAUUCAACUUUACACAAGUUUGCUCAAGAGAAAUACAGCUUAUUUGUGCAAAAUGGUACAAAAAUUGAUAAUGUCAUUGUGAAGGUGUCAGAAAAGGAUAGAGCUGAUUACAAGGCUAGGUUGACUCAUUCACUCCGAUGUUUGAGGUUUCUUUUGAAUCAGGGAUUAGCUUUUCGUGGGCAUGAUGAAACUGAACAAAGUGUCAACAGAGGAAACUUUCUUGAACUCUUGAAUUGGCUUGCAGGAAAUAAUGAAGAGGUGAACAAAGUGGUUCUGAAAAAUGCCCCAGGUAAUUGCACAUUGACCUCCCCUCGCAUACAAAAACAAAUUAUUAGAUGUUGCUCUGAGGAAACUACUAGAUCCAUACUUGAAGCACUUGGGGAUGAUUACUAUGCAAUUCUAGCUGAUGAAUGUAGUGAUAUAUCACAUAAAGAACAACUAGCAGUUUGCUUGCGUUAUGUUGAUAAACGUGGAAGUGUUUGUGAAAGGUUUCUUGGAAUAGUUCAUGUUCCUGGCACCACUUCUUUGGAACUUAAAGCAGCUAUUCAAUCUUUACUCACUAGUCAUCACUUGACUCUUAGUUCUUGUAGUGGGCAAGGAUAUGAUGGGGCUAGUAACAUGAAAUGAGAGGUUAAGGGGCUGAAAACAUUGAUAAUGAAAGAGUCUAUGCAUUGUUUUGCACAUCAACUCCAAUUAGUACUUGUUGCAGUUGCAAAGGGAGAUGUUGGGGCUAGUACUUUUUUGCUAAUGUUUCACGCUUGCUGAAUAUUGUUGGAGUUUCUUGCAAACGGCAUGAUAUGCUUCGAGAUGUUAGAGCACAAAAACUGAAGAAAGCACUUGAAUUGGGUGAAAUAGAAAGUGGAAGUGGGUUAAAUCAAGAGAUGGGAUUGGCUAGGCCUGGUGACACUAGGUGGGGUUCUCAUUAUAGAACUGUUUUGCAUAUCAUUGACAUGUAUUCAACCAUUCAGGAAGUACUCAUAACCCUUGGAAAUGAUCCCACACAAAGAGAUGAUUGGCCAAACAUACAUGCUAUGGUUCUGAUUUUAGAGUCAUUUGAGUUUGUUUUCAAUGCCCACUUGAUGCUUGUGAUUCUUGGGUACAACUUGUCUCAAUCUUUGCAAAAGAGAGAUCAAGAUAUUGU